rnacentral:tRNA from 1 species
ACUUUUAUAGGAUAACAGUAAUCCCCUAGCCUUAGGAGCUAUCUUCUCUGGUGCAAUUCCAGAUAAAAGCA